GCACAAGCGGUGGAGCAUGUGGUUUAAUUCGAUGAUACGCGAGGAACCUUACCUGGGCUCAAAUGUAUGUUGACGUAUUCUGAAAGGGAUACUUCUUCGGACAAUAUACAAGGUGCUGCAUGGUUGUCGUCAGCUCGUGCCGUGAGGUGUCGGGUUAAGUCCCAUAACGAGCGCAACCCCUAUCAUUAGUUGCCAUCAGGUCAAGCUGGGGACUCUAAUGAAACUGCCUACGCAAGUAGUGAGGAAGGUGGGGAUGACGUCAAAUCAGCACGGCCCUUACGUCCAGGGCUACACACGUGCUACAAUGGCCGGUACAAAGGGCAGCUACCUGGUGACAGGAUGCUAAUCUCAAAAGCCGGUCUCAGUUCGGAUUGCAGUCUGCAACUCGACUGCAUGAAGUUGGAAUCGCUAGUAAUCGUGGAUCAGCCAAGCCGCGGUGAAUACGUUCCCGGGCCUU
rnacentral:rRNA from 1 species